ensembl:lncRNA
GUAAAUAACACUUAAUAUUUGGUUGCAAAAACUGCAUCAUAACUGCAACUGCCGGAAACCCCCUGAUAUCACCAAACUGUUCAGUCUUUUGUGAUGUUUUUUCAGGCUUGUACCACAGCUUUGUUUCAGUUUUUUAUUUAAAAUUUUUUUUUUUAUUAAACUUUUGCUCACCUAAAGAUUUGGUGGUCGUUUUUGCAGGCUGAUGAGAUGAUGAGGAGCAGAUGCGUUUGCUGAUUCAAACAGGAGGGGGAGCAGAGUGGAGUGCCAUGCCCAGGGAGACACACAAACACACUCAAACAGGAGGAGAGGGAGAGACAAACACGGGAGCCUGCAGAUGACCUGCCAGGCUUGUCAGGAUGGGCCUGAUGGAAAUCCUGGAUGAGAAAGGGGUCCAGGAGGGGUCCAGGGGUCCAGGAACGGGGCACCCAAGUCUGCUCCUCCGGUCCAUGCCCUGUCUGGGGUGGGUUGGGUGCGUUGGGUCUCCUUGACCACUGCCUCAAUGUCUCACAUAACUGUUCCUACCAUGCAGGAAUAAGGGAAGAUGUCAUGGCUCGUGGGGGCCUCUUCAGAGACAAAUUGGUGAGAGAGGGCAUAGGGCUUGACCUUCCUGGAUCUGGGGUGGUACGUGAUGGUGAAGUUGAAGUGACCAAAGAAUAGAGCCCAGCAUGCUUGACAUGAGUUCAGUGGUUAGUCCACAUGAUGGACUUAUGGUUAGUCCACACGAUGAAUGGCCCCCUUGGAGCCAGUAUCUCCAUUUCUCCAGAGCCAGCUUGACUGCAAGCAACUCAUGGUUCCCCACAUCGUAGUUGCUUUCAGCUGAGAACAGGUGGCGAGAGAAGACAGGACCCUUUUUCAUUUACACCAAUUUGCCAAUCUUCCAUUUGGGUUUUUCAGAGCCACAGCUACAUCUCAAUGUCCAAAUGACUGUGUGCUACAGCCCCACUGUGCAUAUGCCACUAUGGAUUUAGAUGACAUAAUAAUCCACAAUAUGAUUGCCAGUGGCAUCUGCAGCAUCUGAGGGCAGUUCUAAAAUUCUUUGACAUGAGCCAGCCUCACAACAAAC